AUUGAACGCUGGCGGCAUGCCUUACACAUGCAAGUCGAACGGUAACGGGCCUUCGGGUGCCGACGAGUGGCGAACGGGUGAGUAAUACAUCGGAACGUGCCCGAUCGUGGGGGAUAACGAGGCGAAAGCUUUGCUAAUAACGCAUACGAUCUACGGAUGAAAGCAGGGGACCGCAAGGCCUUGCGCGGACGGAGCGGCCGGUGGCAGAUUAGGUAGCCGGUGGGAUACAAGCUUACCAAGCCGACGAUCCGUAGCUGGCCUGAGAGGAGGGUCAGCCACACUGGGACGGAGACACGGCCCAGACUCCGACGGGAGGCAGCAGUGGGGAAUGUUGGACAAUGGGCGGAAGCCUGAUCCGGCCAUGCCGCGUGGAGGAUGAAGGCCUUCGGGUUGGAAACGGCUUUUGUACGGAACGAAAAGCCUUCUGGGAAUACAGGGGGGUCAUGACGGUACCGUAAGAAUAAGCACCGGCUAACUACGUG
rnacentral:rRNA from 1 species